UUAAAUGGCCGCAGUAUUUUGACUGUGCGAAGGUAGCAUAAUAAUUAGUUUUUUAAUUAAAAGCUAGAAUGAAUGGUUGGACAAAAAAAGUACUGUCUCAAUUUAAUUUUAUUAGAAUUUUAUAUUUAAGUAAAAAAGCUUAAGUAUUUAUAAAAGACGAGAAGACCCUAUAGAGUUUUAUAUAAAAUUAAUUUAAUAUUUUUAGAAAUUUUUAUAUUAUAUUAAAAAUUAUAUUUUAUUGGGGUGAUAAAAAAAUUUAAAAAACUUUUUUUAAAUAAAAUCAUUAAUUUAUGAAUUUAUGAUCCAAUAUUUUUGGUUAUAAGAUUAAAUUACCUUAGGGAUAACAGCGUUAUUUUUUUUAAGAGUUCAAAUCGAAAAAAAAGUUUGCGACCUCGAUGUUGGAUUAAAAUUAAUUUUUGGUGUAGAAGCUAAAAUAUUAGGUCUGUUCGACCUUUAAAAUUUUACAUGAUCUGAGUUUAGACCGGUGUGAGCCAGGUUGGUUUCUAUCUUUAUAAAAAUUUUAUAUUUUAGUACGAAAGGACCAAAUAUAAAUAAUAAUUUAUUUUAUAAGAAUAAUAUU
rnacentral:rRNA from 1 species